rnacentral:rRNA from 1 species
AACGAACGCUGGCGGCAUGCCUAACACAUGCAAGUCGAACGAUACCUUCGGGUCUCUUGGCGCACGGGUGCGUAACGCGUGGGAACCUGCCCUUAGGUUCGGAAUAACUUCCCGAAAGGGGUUCUAAUACCGGAUAAUUUCUUCAUACCAAAGAUUUUUCGCCUUUGGAUGGGCCCGCGUUGGAUUAGCUAGUUGGUAGGGUAAAAGCCUACCAAGGCGACGAUCCAUAGCUGGUCUGAGAGGAUGAUCAGCCACACUGGGACUGAGACACGGCCCAGACUCCUACGGGAGGCAGCAGAGGGGAAUAUAGGAAAAUGGGGGAAAGGCUGAACCAGCAAGGCCGGGUGAGUGAUGAAGGCGUUAGGGUUGUAAAGAUCGUUUACCCGGGAGGAUAAUGACAGUACCGGGAGAAUAAGCUCCGGCUAACUCCGUG